GUGCCGGGGAGUGGUAGUGGGGGAUGAAAUAUGGUAGGACUCAGGACAUGUCUGAAAUACAGAGCUAGUAGUGUGUGCUGAUGGAUUGGAUUGGGCUCCCAGUGUGGGUGAAAGAAGGAAACAAAACUGACUCCCAGACUUGGCCUGAGCAACUAAAAAAGGGAGCUGUCUUUUACAGAGCAGAGGAAGAGUGUUACAGGAGAAAGCUUGAGGAGAAAGAUCAGAAAUGCAGGUUUGGGUACAUUGGACUUUGAGAUGCCUAUCAGACAUCCAAGUAGAUACAGCAGCCAGGAAAGAGGGUCAGGCCAGCGAUGGGAUGUUUAGAGACCCUAGCACUAAAAGCUGUAAGUCUGUAAGAUUGUCUACGAGUGAGUGAGUGUAAAAAGUAGAAGCGGUCUAGGUACUGAGCCUUUGGACUCUAACAUUUAGAGGUUAGGAAAACGAGGAUGAUCCAGUAAAGGAGAUGGAGAAGAGCACCUCCCUGGAAUAAGUGUAAUCAACUACCUGAAAUGCUGCUGAUCAUGUAAGCUGACGACUAAGAACUGGCCUUUGGAUUUAGCAACGUGGAAAUCACCGGUGACAUUGACGGACAACUCAAGUAGGAAUGGAGACUUUUCCACUCACAAAUAUGUAGUUCCAACGGGAAUGGAGCCGGGACCGAAGCAGGUUUGGAUGACUCUGGACCGUUAGGAAUUCCCCAAAUGAACACGGACAUCCACGUCUCCAUGUGUCCUGGGUUCAACUGGGGUUUUUUCAGAUCAACUUCUAUGCAGAAGUUAAUGUUCAUGAAAUGACAGUGCACACAUUAUUACCUGCACCAGGACUGACCACCCCCGCUCUCACACCCUUGGUGUACCCCUGGAUGGUGGAUGUCUGCAUGUUGGCAGUGAUCCAGUGGCGAAAGGAAAAUGAUGAUGCCAAAGACAGAGAGAGAGGAAAUUGCUCGCGUCAUAUCUCUGAGUAGAUAGAGUGGAGACAGACUCCGAGAUGCUGGCGAGGGGCUGAUUUAGGGACACCUGGGUGACUCUGUUGGAUAAGCGUCUGACUCCU